ACCCUGAUGUGGGGGAUAACUAUUGGAAACGAUAGCUAAUACCGCAUAAUCUCUUCGGAGCAAAGAGGGGGACCUUCGGGCCUCUCGCGUCAGGAUUAGCCCAGGUGGGAUUAGCUAGUUGGUGGGGUAAUGGCUCACCAAGGCGACGAUCCCUAGCUGGUCUGAGAGGAUGAUCAGCCACACUGGAACUGAGACACGGUCCAGACUCCUACGGGAGGCAGCAGUGGGGAAUAUUGCACAAUGGGGGAAACCCUGAUGCAGCCAUGCCGCGUGUAUGAAGAAGGCCUUCGGGUUGUAAAGUACUUUCAGUUGUGAGGAAGGCGUUGAAGUUAAUAGCUU
rnacentral:ncRNA from 1 species